rnacentral:rRNA from 1 species
AUUGAACGCUGGCGGCAUGCCUUACACAUGCAAGUCGAACGGCAGCACGGGAGCAAUCCUGGUGGCGAGUGGCGAACGGGUGAGUAAUACAUCGGAACGUGCCCUGUCGUGGGGGAUAACUAGUCGAAAGAUUAGCUAAUACCGCAUACGACCUGAGGGUGAAAGCGGGGGACCGCAAGGCCUCGCGCGAUAGGAGCGGCCGAUGUCUGAUUAGCUAGUUGGUGGGGUAAAGGCCCACCAAGGCGACGAUCAGUAGCUGGUCUGAGAGGACGAUCAGCCACACUGGGACUGAGACACGGCCCAGACUCCUACGGGAGGCAGCAGUGGGGAAUUUUGGACAAUGGGGGCAACCCUGAUCCAGCAAUGCCGCGUGUGUGAAGAAGGCCUUCGGGUUGUAAAGCACUUUUGUCCGGAAAGAAAUCCYCUGCCCUAAUACGGCGGGGGGAUGACGGUACCGGAAGAAUAAGC